rnacentral:rRNA from 1 species
UGGGGAAUAUUGGACAAUGGGCGAAAGCCUGAUCCAGCCAUGCCGCGUGUGUGAAGAAGGUCUUCGGAUUGUAAAGCACUUUAAGUUGGGAGGAAGGGCAUUAACCUAAUACGUUAGUGUUUUGACGUUACCGACAGAAUAAGCACCGGCUAACUCUGUGCCAGCAGCCGCGGUAAUACAGAGGGUGCAAGCGUUAAUCGGAAUUACUGGGCGUAAAGCGCGCGUAGGUGGUUUGUUAAGUUGGAUGUGAAAGCCCCGGGCUCAACCUGGGAACUGCAUCCAAAACUGGCAAGCUAGAGUACGGUAGAGGGUGGUGGAAUUUCCUGUGUAGCGGUGAAAUGCGUAGAUGUAGGAAGGAACACCAGUGGCGAAGGCGACCACCUGGCCUGAUACUGACACUGAGGUGCGAAAGCGUGGGGAGCAAACA